rnacentral:rRNA from 1 species
AUUGAACGCUGGCGGCAGGCUUAACACAUGCAAGUCGAGCGGGGGAAGGUAGCUUGCUACCGGACCUAGCGGCGGACGGGUGAGUAAUGCUUAGGAAUCUACCUAUUAGUGGGGGACAACAUCUCGAAAGGGAUGCUAAUACCGCAUACGUCCUACGGGAGAAAGCAGGGGAUCUUCGGACCUUGCGCUAAUAGAUGAGCCUAAGUCGGAUUAGCUAGUUGGUGGGGUAAAGGCCUACCAAGGCGACGAUCUGUAGCGGGUCUGAGAGGAUGAUCCGCCGCACUGGGACUGAGACACGGCCCAGACUCAUACGGGAGGCAGCAGUGGGGAAUAUUGGACAAUGGGGGGAACCCUGAUCCAGCCAUGCCGCGUGUGUGAAGAAGGCCUUAUGGUUGUAAAGCACUUUAAGCGAGGAGGAGGCUACUCUAGUUAAUACCUAGGGAUAGUGGACGUUACUCGCAGAAUAAGCACCGGCUAACUCUGUGCCAGCCGCCGCCGUAA